rnacentral:rRNA from 1 species
UACGUAGGGUGCAAGCGUUAAUCGGAAUUACUGGGCGUAAAGGGUGCGUAGGCGGUUCCGCAAGUCCUGUGUGAAAUCUUCGGGCUCAACUCGAAGUCUGCACGGGAAACUGCGGGGCUUGAGUGUGGGAGAGGUGAGUGGAAUUCCCGAUGUAGCGGUGAAAUGCGUAGAUAUCGGGAGGAACACCUGUGGCGAAAGCGGCUCACUGGACCAUAACUGACGCUGAUGCACGAAAGCUGGGGGAGCAAACAGG